CGGCCAAUCGUACCAUAAGUCAGUGAUCUGUAGACGAGAGUCUGUCAGGUUCAUAUAGAGAAGCGAGUGGAAUUGUUCCGGCCAUGGCGUAGGAACUGGAGUUGAUUCAUUACCUUGAGUCUUGAGAAGUAGCAGCAAAAGGCAUAAAACUAGUUCAACAUACCUCAUGUUGUUGUGUUUUCUUUCUUCUCUUUAGGGUGAGUGAUGUAUUUACUUCCUUCUAUCUUAUCCUCAGUUAAGAGGUCAAUCUAUCUUUGGAUUCUUUCUUGUCCUGUGUACCAUUCACUUAGAUAUUUCAUGGUUUAAUCUACUGGUCAACUGAAAGGUUAAAUAUCAAGAAAAGUCUACUAUCACAUUGGCACUUUCUAAGUCCCUAUACCUUAACAUCCAUGGGUUCUUGGAAUAGCAAUGAAGUUAGAAUCUCGCAACAAGAAUUAUGUUAUGUAAUGGUUGAAAAGGACUACUUUUGAUAGGAUUAUUGUUCAUGGCGUCGUCAUGAAGAUCAUCAUUCUGGAAAUCAGAACUUGACUCAAUGUUGCAUAUGGCUGAACCUCUGGACAUUUUUGUGUAGAAACUGUUGAUUAAAAAUGAAAUUUGAACAAUACUCAAUCCAAAAUGCAAAUUGUUCCAUAAAUAUAUAUUGGUGACUAGUACUCUAGUAGGGAUACCUUAGUAUGGGGAAAGAUGAUAUGAAUGUCAUGACAGUUAUUCGGAUAAAUUAGUUAUUUUGGUCCACAAACUUUCACCAAAUUUUCAUUUGAGUCCACAAAGUUGUAUCUAGUCAAUUUGGUUUUCAAAGUUUCAUUUUGUUUGCAAUUUGAUUUCAGGUUUAAGUCUUUGUUUCGAAUCACAUAACAUAGAGGGUGAUUUGGCAGUUAAAAUCGUAUAUGCUUAGUUAAAUCUAAAUUUAAAAUCCUACGAGCUUCUCAUAUGUUGACCUAUCAUAGAAUGCAAUAAAAGAAAAUUUAAAAUUUAAAUUUAACAUAGAAUUUUUAACUGCCAAAUCACCCUACGUUAAGUGAUCCAAAACGAAAACUUAACUUGAGACCAAAUUGCAAAUAGAAUAAAAAUUUGCGGACCAAAUUGACCAAAUACAACUUUGUGGACUCAAGUGAAAAUUUGGUAAAAGUUUGUGGACCAAAAUAGCUAAUUUAUUCAGCUAUCCGAUUAUUUGGCAGAACAAAAUGCUCAUUCAGUUUGUUUAUAUAUGAGCAAACCUAGGAAUGAAUGUAGAAAACAUGGUGAGCUUCUAACAAGAAGCAAUGUAAAGAAGCAUAAUUGCAUGAGUAAUUCUAUGGGGACAACCCAAUGAGACAGACUAAGAAACCAUCCCGAUGUGGAUGCUGACGUGACUAAACCACGUCAGAAAAAAAAUUUACCUUCUCUGUCUUCUCGUCCCACACUCCUAUUUCUAAUAUUCUAGGUAUGAAAAAGAGUAAAAAAGAAAAAAAAUUAAAAUUAAAAUUAAAAUUCACGAGCAGUUCUCUCCUUAAACGGCUAAACCCCAGUUGUUUGUCUACUCUCUAUUAUCUUCUCUUUGGAAUCUCAAUCUCGUUGUCUUCUCUCCUUAUCACUUGAACCCAUCCUUGCUUUGUCCAACAUAACACUUGCCUGCGCUCUCUUAUUUAUUUUUUUUGAUAAAUGGUAGAAUUAUAUUAAAACACAAACAGUUUACAAAAGUCUGAUAAGCCUGCAGUAUAGAAAGUUAGAAACUACAUCGUCAAAUUGAAACCCAAGAGGACAUACCCUCUAUGUUACAGUUUUAUGUAAAGUCCCAUCCCUUUUUACAUAUAAGCAUACUUUGUCUAUAUUGCAGAAAUUCCAACCAGCCAUACAGAAACAGAACCCUUAACAUCCAAGCUUUAUGUAGUCCUGCUACUGCCCGUCUCCCAGCCCCAGUUUCACUUGCCAUGCCUGCAACAGUUCCUGAAAAAUGUCUGCUCCUUUCUUUAAGGGUCUUUGGCUUCAUAGCUAGCCAUGCCCAAAUCACUUUUGAAGAAGAAAAAAAACACCAGCUUAAUUAUAUUCUAAGUUAAAAUCUUUUUUGAAUUUUCCAAAUUCCCAACAACAACAUUGAAAUCUAAUUAUAAUUUGAGAUAAAAUGAAUGAAAAGAGGUAAAGAACCAAAAUUUAAUUAAGAAAAAAGAAACAAAGAACUAAAAAAAAACAUACGCCCAUACUUAAUCGAGAGAAAGAAGAACCUUAGAAAUUUUGGGGAUUUGGGGAAGAAAGAAUUUGACUAGCAAGAGGAAUACAAAAUUGAGAUCUUUGAGAGAGUUUUUUUUUUUUCCAAUUUUUCAUUAACUUAUGCAGAGAAGAAAAAUAAAUAAAAAAGGGCCGAACAUAUAGACAGAGAAGAAGUUUAUAAAAAAAAUAGAGACGAAGAAGGCAAAUUUUUUUGUUGACGUGGCCACAUCAAGCUGGUUUCUUAGUCUGUCUCAUUGGGUUGUCCCCAUAGAAUUACUCAUACUUGCAUGGUCAAAAAUCUAUUAUUCCGUUUUUAUUUGAACUAGUUUUGAUAUAAGCAUCUGAGAACGACGAUUGCCAAAGGAAGACCGGCCACCACAUUUUUUAACCAUAUCUUUUCCACAUUUCUCUUUAUCACUUGAGAAGAAACACCUCGAGUCCGCAACAUUUGGAGGAAAUGCUUUCUUACAAAGCAAUUCCCAAGCUUCGUCAUCUGUUAAAGAUUGUUGUUCAGUGGUAACUCCAUAGAUCUGGAUGCUCAGCUACUUUUUUGUUGCGCAUGGUGACCAUGAUUUUACUUCCUUUCCUUUUAGGAAAGGCAGAUUUAAGAACAUCCCAAUCUUUUGGGCUCCAUAUAUCAUCAAGUACAACCAAAUACCGCUUUCCUUAAUAAGAUUGCAUAAACCUUCUCUACCAAUUCGUCUACUUGCAUUGAUUCGAUCUCCGACCUAAGUGUACAGCCAACAUUUCUUGGUAUUUUUGCAAAACCUCUCUAGUGUUCAAUUGUUGAGAAAUUGAAGUCCAACCAUAGCAAUCGAAAUGACUCUUGAUGCUGUGAUGAUUGUAAACUUCUUUUUAGAAAGAGUAGUCUUGUAUUGCCUAAACCACCCAUGUCAUAUAUGGAGACUACACAAAGUCGAUCUUCCUCUUUUGACAGCUCAACCAUCAAACGGUUUUUCUGAAACUCCAAGCCAAUUAUAUCGCCAUACCUCUUGGGUAGGUAUGAACGCCUCAACAACAUCUCGUUUGUAUUAGAAGAUAGUGUUCUUUCACUAAACAGAGCAGUUUUCUUUGAGCUAAAGAAUUAAGGCUCAGAUAUAACCAUGAACGGUUAUUCCUUCCAUUUUAUAAAUUAAACAGGCAGACAGGACUAUUGUGAAAGUGGGCAAAGUAAGGAACAAGACAUGUGAAACCUGAAUUCGAAAGUGGUUGGGUCCCAAGACAUGUGAAACCUGAAUGUGAAAGUGGUCUUUACUGUCCUGGAAAGCAAUAACACAAUAAUAGAAGUUUUGAAAAAGAGGUGUAAAGGUCCCAAGAUAUGUCGGUGGAUAGACCUGUCAGCAAUCCAAACUGAUCCAAAAUUAUUUAUGGUUUUUGGAUAUCCAAAUGAGCAAAUGGGUUAGAUGAAGUGGUUUUCGGAUAUCUAAUUAUUUUUCGGUUAGGUUUGGAUAAUAUCGUAAAAAAACCAAUCUUAUACAUUUUUUUAAAAAAAAAAAAAAAUCAAUUCAAAUCUUUUUUUUGAUAAAUUUUCGCUUUAUUAAUAAACCACUAAAAAUUACAACAAAGAUGGAAAAAUUAGCAAGAAGCUAAAAAGCCUAAAAGACCCCAACAAACAUUCAUCCCUUAUGCAAAGCCCAACAAAUAGAAACCCCAUGAUGGAUCCACUUUGGUGCCACCUGUUGGUCUAGCCCAUGAAACCAAAAAAACUCUAACAUGCCAUGUCAUCAUCAUCUUCUCCAAAUGCAGCAAACUUCUUCUCCAAGUACAGCAAACUCUGGUAACCGGUAAACAAUGAACCCCUUCCCCAUUGCUUCCGAUUGGAGUUCAUACUCCCAAUUAUGCCUUUCUUCACCCCGAAGAAAAAGUUCCAGCGUCUCCCUCACUUGAUAGAAGAAAUUGCUUCACUCCAAGAAGCUUGAAAAAUGAAACCCCUACGCCUCCGUUGAGCACCUCCCCCUCAACAUCACCACCAACAAACAAUGCUUCGUGCAGUCCCCAUAACACCCACCUGUUGGGUUUGAAGAUGAACCCGCCUGUUGGCUCAAUUGCAUCACCAAGACACCCAAAGUCAAAUUUGUAGACCCCAAAACCAGAUCUGAAAACCACAAAUCUUUAUCUGAAAACUCCCAACCCCAAAGCUAGAAUUGAAAACCCAUAGUUCAGAUUCGAAAACCCCAAACUAGAUUUAAAAUCCAGCAUUAUCCUUGAAAAAAACCCCUCCCCAUUAUUUAGACUUCCGAUAAGAAUCAGAUCCACGGCCAGUCAACGACUAUGGGAGCCGGACUGGCUGUGGACUGUGGUCACCCCUCCCCGUUAUUUAGACUUCCGAUAAGAAUCAGAUCCACGGCCAGUCAACGACUAUGGGAGCCGGACUGGCUGUGGACUGUGGUCACCCCUCCCCGUUAUUUAGACUUCCGUUAAGAAUCAGAUCCACGGCUAGUCAACGACUAUGGGAGCCGGACUGGCCGUGGUCAACGGUGGUUGCUCUCUAGUCGCUCUCUGCUCAAUAGAUAUGAGAAUUUUAAUAGAGAUACAUAAUUGAUUGUUGGGUUGUUAGUAAUUGGAAUUAUAAGCUGUUAAUACUUGCAAUUUGAUGGUUGGGGUUUGUAGUAAAUUUUUUUUUUUUAUUAUUAUUCUUUUCAAAUUAAGAGUAAGCUUCUGCCCCCUUUGCACCCAUUUUGGUGGAUUUUUGGAUAUAAUUAUAGUUAAGCAGUUUAAUGGAAGCUUUAAUAGUUGUCUUGAUUAAUAAAAUUGAAAACCUUCAAGGGGUUUUGAAGACAAAAGAGAAUAUUAUCGUUGGUGUGUAAUGGGUCGAAAAAGAGAAGUUAAAGAGGUGGAUCAUGCUCUAGAAGAAUUGAUUUUAAUGAGUGAACCGAAUAUUGUAUUUUGAAAUUUUCGAAAGUGGAGAAGAACAAAAAAAAAAAAAAAAAAAAUUGGAGAAGAAGAGAUUUUCAGAUCGGGUCGGAUAAUCUAAUACUUGAAUGGAUCGGUUUGGAUCAGUGUUAUCAAACCCAACCCGGACAUCAACCCGGUAAAAUGACCAAGUCACUAGGUUAGUGGUCUAACCAAUGGGUCAACUGGUUAGACCAGUCACAUCAAUAUUCCUUUAUAAUAUGAAUAACAAAGUUAUUGGUUCAAAAUCACAAAUUCACGAUAACAUAUAAAAAUAACCAAGAUCUCACGCUUCAAGUAACAAAGCAUCACAAAAUCCCAAAUAAGCUAAUAUACCAAUCUUCCAAAGCAUCAUAAAUAGGUUCAAUAGAAUUAUAUUUUCUAAUGACUUUUCUUUCAAACUUCCAACAUUCACAUUGGCUAAAGCAAAUCCAACCAACGACAGUAAUUGCUAAUUAAGUAAUUAGUUCAUUUAAGUAUUUAAAUUUUUUGCUUAAAUUUUAAAGGUUACUGGUUUUGAAAAGAAAUCGCCCAAAGAAAUCGCCCGGGGUUACUGGGUUUGGAACGGUCCAAGUGUAGAAACGAUUUUUAAGCUAACCCAGCCCGUUUAAAGCACCGAUUCACCGGGUCAACCUGUCGGGUCAGGUCGGGUCUGAUAACACUGGUUUGGAUAGUAACAGUUUUAUCCAUCGUACAAUCGGAUCGGAUUGGUUUGGAUAGUAAAAGUUUGGAUUGGUUUGGAUCACUAGAAAAACCGAACUGAACCGAUCCAUUGACAAGCCUAUUGGUCGAGACAGGAAGAUUUAUGGUUCUCAGAAUUAGAAUUUUAUUGUAGUAACUUUGGUAGUUCAUCACAUUAAAUGUGCCGCGACAGGGUCCUUUUCUACUAAGAUGUAGUCAUGUAGGGCAAGAGAUAGGUCAGGUACAGGUCCGGUUUAUGUAAACCCGAAUCCCAAUUUUGAGAGCUCUACUUGGAUCUGAGGAUGUACAUAUAUGCUAACCAGAACCGAGUUUUCUGUACAAGAAAACUUAGGGGUGCGUUUCAGCUGGAUCGUUCGGAAAUGGGAGUCCUAGAUAUUCGCAUUAAGGAAUGAAAACUGGAGAUGGAUAUUCUUUAAAGAUGUGUUGUAGUUGCAUACUUGCAUGGGCACAUUUAAACUUCUAUGCAGUUUGAGAGAAAAGAAAAAUGGAAUAGAAAAGCAUCAUGCCAUUACCAAUUAGUAAUAAGACAUACCAUUGUUCCACUCGACAUCAUACAACAGCUCACCCAGUUGCUUCUGCAUAAUGUUACAUUUCUCCUCUUCUGCAAAUUAUACCAUAAGUCAGUGAUCUGUGACAAGAGUCUGUCAGGUUCAUAUAGAGAAGCGAGUGGAAUUGUUCCGGCCAUGGCGUAGGAACUGGAGUUGAUUCAUAAUUCAUUACCUUGAGUCUUGAGAAGUAGCAGCAAAAGGCAUAAAACUAGUUCAACAUACCUCAUGUUGUUGUGUUUUCUUGGAAUAUCGAGAAAAGUCUACUAUCACCAUGGCUCUUUCUGGAUCC
rnacentral:lncRNA from 1 species